GAUGUUAGCUGACGGGUGACCAAAUCGAGAAUGCCACAAUGACGCAGAGAGCUUUUGUGCCGUUAGGGCGGACGGGGGACUGGAAGCUGCCGGCCAGUAGUAGGUGUUGCCCCUAAGUGGGCUGCGAACGAGUGUUGCCCACGUGCGUCGAUCCUUCACCUGAAAAUCAGUAUCAGAAAGAACAACAUUAACAUUAUUGUGACGACAUAAUGGAGACUGGGAGCCGCCGGCCAGUAGUAGGUGUUGCCCCUAAGCGGGCCGCGAACGAGCGUUGCCCACGUGCUACAAUCCUUCACCUGAAAAUCAGUAUCAGAAAGAACAACGUUAACAUUAUUGUGACGACAUAAUUGGGCAGCAGAGAUCAAAUUUUUACGCAUAUGUGGAACACAGAGAGCCCCAGGUAAUAAAAUAGAGGAAUAACUGUUUAGUUGUCCAGUAUGUGUAAUUGUCAAACCUUCACCGUUACAAAUAACCACAUUGUCAAAACCAGUGUAAGGACUGUAAAGAGACAUGUUGGCAAGAUCAGUGGUUAUGUGAUGGGAGGCACUUGCAGAGCUGGCACUUCCUAUUGUACCCGCGAGAUUGGCUAUUGCUGGAUUAACCACCACGAUCGGAGGCUGAACCGUAGCUGCUACGGCCGCGCCCGCGGCUACUGUAGCGGUUACGGCCUGACUGCUGUCCGGCGACGAAGGCAGCCGACGGUGCCACAUCAGAUGCGGCGGAGGUGGCCGGCACACGAGUAGUAAUCUGAGCCUCCAUGCUUAACAGCUUGUCAUGUAAUUCAGCAAAAGAGAUGGGAUAUUCGCGGGCUUGGAUGGCAUGAGAGAGUUCCAUAUACGGAUCAUCAAGACCAUUUAGAACCUUAAUGACAAUAUCCUCAGAAUCAACAGUAACACCUAGGAGAGAUAAUUCAUCCACAAUCACGCGAAUACUGUGCAUAAAAUCAGUAACAGAUUUAGAACUUUUUACCGGAUUAUGGAGCUGUUGUUUGAGAGCCAUGAUACGACUACGAGAAGCAGUGUCGUAUGCGCGCGCGAGGAUGUCCCAGGCCUCUUUAGAGUUUUUACAGGAUUAUGGAGCUGCUGUUUGAGAGCCAUGAUACGACCGCGAGAACCAGUGUCGUAUGUGCGCGCAGGGAUGUCCCAGGCCUCUUUAGAGGUUUCCGCAGUGGCAAUAAAGGAGAUGAUCGUCAGUGUGAUCGACGAGAUGAUGGCACUGAGAAUAAGAUUGUCCUGGCGAAUCCAGUAAGGAUAUGCUGGAUUGGGAGAGCCACGAUACGACCAGGAAGCAGUGCCGUAUGUGCGCGCGAGGAUGUCCCAGGCCUCUUUAGAGGUUUCCGCAGUGGCAAUAAAGGAGAUGAUCGUCAGUGUGAUCGACGAGAUGAUGGCACUGAGAAUAAGAUUGUCCUGGCGAAUCCAGUAGCGAUAUGCUGGAUUGGGGAAAGUCAACUCCUUGUCGAUGAUUGUGGCUGGUGGGCAUGGCUUUUAUCCGUCCAAGAAGCCGAGGAGGUCGUAGCCUGUAAGAAGGGUUCGAAAUUGGAAUUUCCACGCCAGGUAAUUAGUGGAAUCCAAUUUGAGUGGGAUUAUUAGCCGAUGCAUUGAUGGCUAUCGGGUGGAGAAGCUCGUUUGACGUCUUAGCUGCCAUGAAGCGCGAGGCAAAGGAGAGGAGGCGCUGAUCGACGUCGAAAGAGAGAGAGCUGCCGAUUAGUGCAUCGUUGGCGGCGGCGAUGGGCUGCCGAUAAAAGCAGCGGCGGCGGCGGCGGCGCGGGUAAGGUAGUUUUAGGGUUUCUUUGGCGAUAAGCCACUGGCGUAAGAUACCAUGUAGAAAGUUUUGGGAGAAGUGAUUUUCUCGUAUUGCUCACAAAGGUAUAUAGAGUACAGAGAGGUAUCAAAUCCUACCAGCUAUAGGACUGCACAAUAAUGAAAGAAAUCAAAUCUUACCAACUAUAGGACUGUACAAUAAUGAAAGAAUAUUCUACCAAUAAUAACAAAAUACACAUAAUAUAUUUUAAUAUUAUAUACCGUCACGAUAGUUCACGAAUAACAUACUGAGUCGUAACAAGUACUAAGUGUUCCAGUUCUGUCUUCAUGGAGUAGUUUCCACAAUACAUUAGGCGGGUAGAUUAUUGUUGAUAGAGGAGUGGUGUUGGGCUACUUGGAUCCUUCUGUAACCAAAACACGUGCAAUUUUAUAUUUUUCUCGAAAGUUAUACUUGAACAGUGGAUUUUUCAAUUCCUUCAGUUGUAACCUACACUUAUUAACAAGGUUAGUAUAGAGGAAAUAGUUGUCGUGGCAAAAUAAUUGAAGUAUUUCGGUAGCAUCAGUUUUAAUUUCUAAGCUAUGAAAAUUAUUUGUUCGUGAUCAUUUUUUGGGAAAGAAAUUCCAUAUAGGUUGAGGUUUAGCCAUAAGCGGGUAUGGUAUCCAAGAACCCAAUCCCCAUAGUUAUUCCAAAAAAUGCCGCCAAUCCCACUCUUCCUAUAUUUGCUUUUGAAUACCCAAUCAAUAUUGAGUUUUAACUCUGUUGCAGUGGUGGAAUGCUAUUUUACAUUUAUGUAGGUGACGGUGUGAUAUAGGUUUUGUGGGUUACCGGAAUAUUUAUAUCCCCAUGCAAAGUAGAUCCAAUCAAAAAUACAUUUUUUAAAAUUUGAAUUUGAAAUUAAAGUUUCAAAGCGUAUUAAUGAUUAAUGGUAGAGAGUCAAAUACUUUUAAAAUUUAUUGAUUGACAAUUUAAAUUUGAAUAAUCGAGCCAAAUAAUUAAUAUACAUUUUACGCCAACAAAAAAAAUGGGAAGCCCAGAAAAGCUUCAAACUCCAACCAUGACAAAAUUAAACCCUUUCUUUGCAAUUGUUAGAGAAAUAUGAGCUCUAGAAGAAAAAACCUUGUAGAAUCAAUAUAGAAAGCGAGUUGAUUUCAAACAUAAAAAGAGAAAAAUCCUUUAAAAAGAAGUGUAAUUCGUACAUCAUGUCUCUUUAUAAAUUUAAAUUUUUUAAAAAAUAAUCUUUUUAAAUUUUGUAUAUAUAAAAAAUAGAUUUUUUAAACGUAAAAGUAAAUUUUCUGUGUGUAAACAAAAGGUAGGAUCAUAGAAUUAACAACAAGUUUCUAACGAGACCAAAACAAAAAAGAAACAGUCGAAAAGCUGCACCUCUAAAGAUUAUUAUCGAUCAGCCACAAAUAUAGUCCUAUUCUACUCUCCUGCAGAUCUAGAGUAGGUUUUUAGAAUCCAUUAAAUCUUUUGGGUGCGCCACUGCUGACACGUAUAGUUUGAGUAUGUAUAUAUAUAUAUAGAUAUAAAUAAAUAAACCUACCUUAGUAGGUAUUUGCCGGUCU
rnacentral:lncRNA from 1 species